CACUCCGGCCUGGGUGACAGAGUGAGACACUGUCUCGAAAAAUAAAUCACAUAUUGGGACAAUUCGCUGUCCACGUGGGAAAGGAUGAGUCUGAACUCCUACCUCACAUCAUCCAGGAAACCUGCAUAAACCAUACAAGGAAAAAAAUGAACUACAUCAAAAUUAAAACUUUCUGCCCUUCAAUAGGUACCACUGAAGCCGUGCAUGGUGGUGCAAGCCUGUAAUCCCAGCUACUCAGGAGGAUCACUUGAGACCAGUCUGGGCAACACAGAAAGACCUCAUCUCAAAAGAAAAUGCUGAGCAAAAAGUACAAACAAAUACUAGCCUGUGUUCUGCCUCAAGUGAACUUGAAAGAACAUCAGUUUGUGGGAAGGUUGAAGACCGAAUGAUCUGCUGGGAAAUCACUGAGGCAUUGCCAUUCUCUUGAGGAAUUUCA
rnacentral:lncRNA from 1 species